AAAAAAAAAAAAAAAAAAAAAAAAAAAAAAAAAAAACUCUCUCUGUUCUCUACGAUCCGAUCCGAUCCGAUGGGUUUUGGAGAUUAAUUAAUUGGUAACACCCCAAAAUCUGCUAGAGAUUGAUGAUUCUAACUGGGAUGAUGCAUCUCAAACAAAAUGAAACAGCUCACAUCCUCAAACAAGCUUAUUCAAUGAAGACGAUUUGUUUUUUGUACAGAGCCCGAUCAGAGUUCAUUUUCUCCGCCGAAAAGGUACAACUCUGAAGCGAUGAUUUUGCUGCGAAAUUUUGAUGUCACAAGCACAUACAUAAGUGUGAUGGAAAAUUUUCCGAAACAGGGCCUCGUCGGGUGAGGCGAAUCGCAUGUGAAUUGACGCGGCGCCAUCCCUGAGCAGAAACCGAUCACUGUCGAAGGCUUCUUGAGCUUCGCCGCCCGUAUGGUAAUGUGGGUCCUGAAAUCUUGCUCAACCAUCUUCUGAGCCAUGAAAAUAUAAAUGGGUUUCAUUAGAAUCUAGCACCAGAAGAAUGGUAUAUCCUAAAGAGUGGGAUAGAUUUUGAGAGACUACACUUAUCACAGAGUUGCAUUUAAAUGCAUUUACUUUUCAGCACAUUCAUUAAAUAGUAAGAGGAAUGUAAAAGUGUAUGACAUGAUGAGGAAAUUGUUUACCAUUUAUCCUUUUCAAA